rnacentral:rRNA from 2 species
AGUCGUACGCACUGGCCCAACUGAUUGAUGGUGCUUGCACCUGAUUGACGAUGGAUUACCAGUGAGUGGCGGACGGGUGAGUAACACGUAGGUAACCUGCCCCGGAGCGGGGGAUAACAUUUGGAAACAGAUGCUAAUACCGCAUAACAACAAAAGCCACAUGGCUUUUGUUUGAAAGAUGGCUUUGGCUAUCACUCUGGGAUGGACCUGCGGUGCAUUAGCUAGUUGGUAAGGUAACGGCUUACCAAGGCGAUGAUGCAUAGCCGAGUUGAGAGACUGAUCGGCCACAAUGGAACUGAGACACGGUCCAUACUCCUACGGGAGGCAGCAGUAGGGAAUCUUCCACAAUGGGCGCAAGCCUGAUGGAGCAACACCGCGUGAGUGAAGAAGGGUUUCGGCUCGUAAAGCUCUGUUGUUGGAGAAGAACGUGCGUGAGAGUAACUGUUCACGCAGUGACGGUAUCCAACCAGAAAGUCACGGCUAACUACGUGCCAGCAGCCGCGGUAAUACGUAGGUGGCAAGCGUUAUCCGGAUUUAUUGGGCGUAAAGCGAGCGCAGGCGGUUGCUUAGGUCUGAUGUGAAAGCCUUCGGCUUAACCGAAGAAGUGCAUCGGAAACCGGGCGACUUGAGUGCAGAAGAGGACAGUGGAACUCCAUGUGUAGCGGUGGAAUGCGUAGAUAUAUGGAAGAACACCAGUGGCGAAGGCGGCUGUCUGGUCUGCAACUGACGCUGAGGCUCGAAAGCAUGGGUAGCGAACAGGAUUAGAUACCCUGGUAGUCCAUGCCGUAAACGAUGAGUGCUAGGUGUUGGAGGGUUUCCGCCCUUCAGUGCCGGAGCUAACGCAUUAAGCACUCCGCCUGGGGGAGUACGACCGCAAGGUUGAAACUCAAAGGAAUUGACGGGGGCCCGCACAAGCGGUGGAGCAUGUGGUUUAAUUCGAAGCUACGCGAAGAACCUUACCAGGUCUUGACAUCUUGCGCUAACCUUAGAGAUAAGGCGUUCCCUUCGGGGACGCAAUGACAGGUGGUGCAUGGUCGUCGUCAGCUCGUGUCGUGAGAUGUUGGGUUAAGUCCCGCAACGAGCGCAACCCUUGUUACUAGUUGCCAGCAUUAAGUUGGGCACUCUAGUGAGACUGCCGGUGACAAACCGGAGGAAGGUGGGGACGACGUCAGAUCAUCAUGCCCCUUAUGACCUGGGCUACACACGUGCUACAAUGGACGGUACAACGAGUCGCAAGCUCGCGAGAGUAAGCUAAUCUCUUAAAGCCGUUCUCAGUUCGGACUGUAGGCUGCAACUCGCCUACACGAAGUCGGAAUCGCUAGUAAUCGCGGAUCAGCAUGCCGCGGUGAAUACGUUCCCGGGCCUUGUACACACCGCCCGUCACACCAUGGGAGUUUGUAACGCCCAAAGUCGGUGGCCUA